rnacentral:SRP_RNA from 1 species
GCUGGGUGCGGUGGCUCACACCUGUAAUCCCAACACUUUGGGAGGCCGAGGUGGGUGGGUCACCUGAGGUCAGGAGUUCUAGACCAGCCUGGCCAACAUGGUGAAACCCCAUCUCUA